rnacentral:lncRNA from 1 species
UUAAAAGACACCGUCAGGGGCAGGGGGCAGCUGGGUAGCUCAGUGGAUUGAGAGUCAGGCCUAGAGAUGGGAGGUCCUAGGUUCAAAUCUGACCUCAGACACUUCCCAGCUGUGUGACCCUGGGAAAGUCACUUAACCCCCAUUGCCUAGCCAUUACCACUCUUCUGCCUUGGAGCCAAUACACAGUAUUGACUCCAAGAUGGAAGGUAAGGGUUUAAAAAAAAAAAAAAAAAAAAAAAAUAAAAAUAAAAAAAUGUCAGCUCAUAUUAUCAUGCCGAGAACCCUGGGAAGUAGGAGCUAUCAUAAGGAUAGCUCCCCAUUAUUAAAUGGGAUAACCCCAUUUUACAGGUGAGGAACCUGAGUGUUAAAUGGCUUGCCCAGGGGUUGCCCAGUAAGUGUCUGAGCCUGGAUUUCAAUUACCACGUCUUCUUGACACUAGGUCCCACUCUCUGUCCACCAUUUCACCUGUCAUCCUUGAGACAAUGUGAGCAAGGGUGGCACAGAGCUCUACCUACACUGUAGCAUUUGAACUUUAUUCCAUCCCUGGGAGGUAGGUACUUAAGGGAUGAUUCUCCCCAUUUUGCAGAAGAUGAAAAUGAGCUUAGAAAUUUCCCCAUGAUCACCUGGCUAGUCGUUGCCAGAGGCCAUGCUACUUUUUCAUAGCUUGUUCCCUACAACCUUCUUGGGAAGAAGGUGACACUUAUUUAAUAGCAGUUCCUAUUUCUAUACUACUUUAAGGCUCAUGGGAAAUGUUUUUCCCACAAUGACCCUGCUAGAUGGGGAAUGCAUAUUACUCUUAAUUUAGAUGUACAGAGAAAACAGGUCCAGAAUGAUUUGUUCUAAUCAUGCAGCUAACAAGUGGCCAAACUAUGACUCUUUGUAGCAUCCAGAAGUUCUCUGAGAAGGGUGUGAAGGAUGGAGCCUAGACCUCUGACUUCAUUCAUUGUAGGGAAAUCCCAUGAAAACAACUCCUUUCAUGAAGGAAGAUUGGAAGGAAAGAAGAAAGCGAG